GGUUAAGCGACUAAGCGUACACGGUGGAUGCCCUGGCAGUCAGAGGCGAUGAAGGACGUGCUAAUCUGCGAUAAGCGUCGGUGAGGUGAUAUGAACCGUUAUAACCGGCGAUUUCCGAAUGGGGAAACCCAGUGUGUUUCGACACACUAUCAUUAACUGAAUCCAUAGGUUAAUGAGGCGAACCGGGGGAACUGAAACAUCUAAGUACCCCGAGGAAAAGAAAUCAACCGAGAUUCCCCCAGUAGCGGCGAGCGAACGGGGAGGAGCCCAGAGCCUGAAUCAGUGUGUGUGUUAGUGGAAGCGUCUGGAAAGGCGUGCGAUACAGGGUGACAGCCCCGUACACAAAAAUGCACAUAUUGUGAGCUCGAUGAGUAGGGCGGGACACGUGGUAUCCUGUCUGAAUAUGGGGGGACCAUCCUCCAAGGCUAAAUACUCCUGACUGACCGAUAGUGAACCAGUACCGUGAGGGAAAGGCGAAAAGAACCCCGGCGAGGGGAGUGAAAAAGAACCUGAAACCGUGUACGUACAAGCAGUGGGAGCCUCUUAAUGGGGUGACUGCGUACCUUUUGUAUAAUGGGUCAGCGACUUAUAUUCUGUAGCAAGGUUAACCGAAUAGGGGAGCCGAAGGGAAACCGAGUCUUAACUGGGCGUUAAGUUGCAGGGUAUAGACCCGAAACCCGGUGAUCUAGCCAUGGGCAGGUUGAAGGUUGGGUAACACUAACUGGAGGACCGAACCGACUAAUGUUGAAAAAUUAGCGGAUGACUUGUGGCUGGGGGUGAAAGGCCAAUCAAACCGGGAGAUAGCUGGUUCUCCCCGAAAGCUAUUUAGGUAGCGCCUCGUGAAUUCAUCUCCGGGGGUAGAGCACUGUUUCGGCAAGGGGGUCAUCCCGACUUACCAACCCGAUGCAAACUGCGAAUACCGGAGAAUGUUAUCACGGGAGACACACGGCGGGUGCUAACGUCCGUCGUGAAGAGGGAAACAACCCAGACCGCCAGCUAAGGUCCCAAAGUCAUGGUUAAGUGGGAAACGAUGUGGGAAGGCCCAGACAGCCAGGAUGUUGGCUUAGAAGCAGCCAUCAUUUAAAGAAAGCGUAAUAGCUCACUGGUCGAGUCGGCCUGCGCGGAAGAUGUAACGGGGCUAAACCAUGCACCGAAGCUGCGGCAGCGACACUAUGUGUUGUUGGGUAGGGGAGCGUUCUGUAAGCCUGUGAAGGUGGCCUGUGAGGGUUGCUGGAGGUAUCAGAAGUGCGAAUGCUGACAUAAGUAACGAUAAAGCGGGUGAAAAGCCCGCUCGCCGGAAGACCAAGGGUUCCUGUCCAACGUUAAUCGGGGCAGGGUGAGUCGACCCCUAAGGCGAGGCCGAAAGGCGUAGUCGAUGGGAAACAGGUUAAUAUUCCUGUACUUGGUGUUACUGCGAAGGGGGGACGGAGAAGGCUAUGUUGGCCGGGCGACGGUUGUCCCGGUUUAAGCGUGUAGGCUGGUUUUCCAGGCAAAUCCGGAAAACCAAGGCUGAGGCGUGAUGACGAGGCACUACGGUGCUGAAGCGACAAAUGCCCUGCUUCCAGGAAAAGCCUCUAAGCAUCAGGUAACAUCAAAUCGUACCCAAAACCGACACAGGUGGUCAGGUAGAGAAUACCAAGGCGCUUGAGAGAACUCGGGUGAAGGAACUAGGCAAAAUGGUGCCGUAACUUCGGGAGAAGGCACGCUGAUAUGUAGGUGAAGCGACUUGCUCGUGGAGCUGAAAUCAGUCGAAGAUACCAGCUGGCUGCAACUGUUUAUUAAAAACACAGCACUGUGCAAACACGAAAGUGGACGUAUACGGUGUGACGCCUGCCCGGUGCCGGAAGGUUAAUUGAUGGGGUUAGCGGUAACGCGAAGCUCUUGAUCGAAGCCCCGGUAAACGGCGGCCGUAACUAUAACGGUCCUAAGGUAGCGAAAUUCCUUGUCGGGUAAGUUCCGACCUGCACGAAUGGCGUAAUGAUGGCCAGGCUGUCUCCACCCGAGACUCAGUGAAAUUGAACUCGCUGUGAAGAUGCAGUGUACCCGCGGCAAGACGGAAAGACCCCGUGAACCUUUACUAUAGCUUGACACUGAACAUUGAGCCUUGAUGUGUAGGAUAGGUGGGAGGCUUUGAAGUGUGGACGCCAGUCUGCAUGGAGCCGACCUUGAAAUACCACCCUUUAACGUUUGAUGUUCUAACGUUGGCCCGUAAUCCGGGUUGCGGACAGUGUCUGGUGGGUAGUUUGACUGGGGCGGUCUCCUCCUAAAGAGUAACGGAGGAGCACGAAGGUUGGCUAAUCCUGGUCGGACAUCAGGAGGUUAGUGCAAUGGCAUAAGCCAGCUUGACUGCGAGCGUGACGGCGCGAGCAGGUGCGAAAGCAGGUCAUAGUGAUCCGGUGGUUCUGAAUGGAAGGGCCAUCGCUCAACGGAUAAAAGGUACUCCGGGGAUAACAGGCUGAUACCGCCCAAGAGUUCAUAUCGACGGCGGUGUUUGGCACCUCGAUGUCGGCUCAUCACAUCCUGGGGCUGAAGUAGGUCCCAAGGGUAUGGCUGUUCGCCAUUUAAAGUGGUACGCGAGCUGGGUUUAGAACGUCGUGAGACAGUUCGGUCCCUAUCUGCCGUGGGCGCUGGAGAACUGAGGGGGGCUGCUCCUAGUACGAGAGGACCGGAGUGGACGCAUCACUGGUGUUCGGGUUGUCAUGCCAAUGGCACUGCCCGGUAGCUAAAUGCGGAAGAGAUAAGUGCUGAAAGCAUCUAAGCACGAAACUUGCCCCGAGAUGAGUUCUCCCUGACUCCUUGAGGGUCCUGAAGGAACGUUGAAGACGACGACGUUGAUAGGCCGGGUGUGUAAGCGCAGCGAUGCGUUGAGCUAACCGGUACUAAUGAACCGUGAGGCUUAACCUU
rnacentral:rRNA from 2 species